rnacentral:tRNA from 1 species
GGGUGAUUAGCUCAGCUGGGAGAGCACCUCCCUUACAAGGAGGGGGUCGGCGGUUCGAUCCCCGUCAUCACCC